AUGCACACAUGGAGCGGUUCACGUGUGUCCCUGCAGUGUUGCAGCUGGGGCGUCCCAAGGUCCAUAGCUAGGCCCACCAAAAGAAUGGAGCGUGUGCAUAGCAAUGUCCAGCAGCACAGGAUGAACUGCUAUGCAACACACCACUACACAAGGAACGGAGGGAGUAUGAUGCAUGACAGCUUUCUGCAGCAAUGCUUCAAGGAGAAUUGGCGUGUAAGGCGAGGGAUGGUUCAUAAUCUAGCACUCCUGUUGUCAGGCCAGGUUGAGGGAACAAGGAAGUAUCAUCAUCAUGAGUGUGCCAUGAGCAGCUACUCACCAGUGCUCCGAUUCUUAGGCCCUUGA
rnacentral:rRNA from 1 species